rnacentral:lncRNA from 1 species
UGAAGGUGGUAGGUGCUAAAAAAGGAAGAAGAUGGAACAUGCUGGCAAGAGGCAGGCUGGGGGAGGUUUUCAGCAACUUUAAGGUGGUCAGAAAAGGUUCUCUCCCUAUGGUGACACUUGAGCAAACACUCGAAAGAAGGUGGGGGGACGAGACAUGGAUGAUGAAGAAAGAGCACUCUAGGCAAUGGGGAAUACAAAUGACAGGGCUCUGAGCUGGCAGCAUCUCCAGCAUGUUCUAGAAAUAGCAAGGUCAGUGCUGCUGGAGCAGACUGAGUGAGGUGGAGAACAGCAGAUCAAAAAGAGGGCUUCGGUUUUUCCUGAGUGAGAUGAGAAGCUUUCCUGGAGUGUUCUGAGCAAAGGAGCAACACAACAUGCACCUUUUAACAGGGCCACUCUAUCAGGGGAGGAGGAGUGGCGGUGGCUUAUAGCAGGGUGGUAGCAGUAGACAGGCUAGGAAGUGGUCAGACUCAGGAUACGUUUUGAAGUUAGAGUCAAACAGGAUUUGCUGAUGGUUUGGAAGUGGAGUGUAAGAAAAAGAAAGGAUUCCUUUUUUUGUUAGCUACAAACCAUUUAUAAACCCCAUUCCCCAGAAUAAUUCUAUAAUCAGACUUCUCUAUGGUUAUAGCAGGCUAAAUGAACACUGUAUAAUAAAUCACUUAACUAAGAAGAGUGGUUUCCUACAAACUCAUGGUUCCCAAUCCCAGCUGAACACUCAACAUUAUUUGUUAAAACUUUUGAUUUGGGGCAGCUUCCUUUUAUGUUCAAAGGGUAUAUGACUAUUCCCCACUCGUGCCAUUUAAACCCCCACUCUUCCACAUUUAAACUAAUAGUGCCUCCUAACUCCCUGAGAAAAUAGAGGGCAUCAGUAAAAUGUCCUUCAAAGACCAAAAAGCCCAGUAGCCUUUUUAUAUCUCACUAUCCUUUUUCUUCUUCCCUGCUGUUUCAAAUAUCUCCUUUUCAAGAUACAUUCUUCUACUUGGGCUCUUGAUCCCAUCCUGACCCCUCCGGUUUCCUUCAUCUUGCCCCAUUAAUCAUUUCUUUUCUCUCCUAUAACUUCAACUUCUCCUCUCGAUUUUC